rnacentral:rRNA from 1 species
UACGUAGGGUGCAAGCGUUAAUCGGAAUUACUGGGCGUAAAGCGUGCGCAGGCGGUUUUGUAAGUCUGUCGUGAAAUCCCCGGGCUCAACCUGGGAAUUGCGAUGGAGACUGCAAGGCUAGAAUCUGGCAGAGGGGGGUAGAAUUCCACGUGUAGCAGUGAAAUGCGUAGAGAUGUGGAGGAACACCGAUGGCGAAGGCAGCCCCCUGGGUCAAGAUGACGCUCAUGCACGAAAGCGUGGGGAGCAAACAGG